ACCUGAAUCUGAUUGAACAUUGAGAUCUGAAAAUGGCUGUGCACCGACGCUCCCCAUCCAACCUGAUCGAGCUUGAGAGGUGAUGCAAAGAGGAAUGGGCAUAUCUGUCCAAAGACAGGUGCACCAAGCUUGUGGAAUCAUAUUCAAGAAGACAAGGCUGGAAAUACU